rnacentral:rRNA from 19 species
UGAGUAACGCGUGGGAAUCUACCCAUCUCUACGGAACAACUCCGGGAAACUGGAGCUAAUACCGUAUACGUCCUUCGGGAGAAAGAUUUAUCGGAGAUGGAUGAGCCCGCGUUGGAUUAGCUAGUUGGUGGGGUAAUGGCCUACCAAGGCGACGAUCCAUAGCUGGUCUGAGAGGAUGAUCAGCCACAUUGGGACUGAGACACGGCCCAAACUCCUACGGGAGGCAGCAGUGGGGAAUAUUGGACAAUGGGCGAAAGCCUGAUCCAGCCAUGCCGCGUGAGUGAUGAAGGCCCUAGGGUUGUAAAGCUCUUUCAACGGUGAAGAUAAUGACGGUAACCGUAGAAGAAGCCCCGGCUAACUUCGUGCCAGCAGCCGCGGUAAUACGAAGGGGGCUAGCGUUGUUCGGAAUUACUGGGCGUAAAGCGCACGUAGGCGGAUUGUUAAGUUAGGGGUGAAAUCCCAGGGCUCAACCCUGGAACUGCCUUUAAUACUGGCAAUCUCGAGUCCGAGAGAGGUGAGUGGAAUUCCGAGUGUAGAGGUGAAAUUCGUAGAUAUUCGGAGGAACACCAGUGGCGAA